CUUCUGCGGCGGUUCCACGCUCAACUUUAUAGUUCGUCUUAUUUAAAAAAAUUUUAUAAUUAGUAUUUUUAUUAUUAUGAGAUGAUAAAACAUGAAUAGUACUUUACUCGUGACUUAUGGUUUUAAUUUUUUUAAUUUUUUUUUAAAUAAGACGAACGGUCAAAGUUGGGCGCGGAAAACCAUGGCUGCACUUAUA
rfam:Oryza glumipatula chromosome 9, whole genome shotgun sequence.